AUUGAACGCUCGCGGGAUGCUUUACACAUGCAAGUCGAACGGCAGCGCGGACUUCGGUCUGGCGGCGAGUGGCGAACGGGUGAGUAAUGUAUCGGAACGUGCCCAGUAGCGGGGGAUAACUACGCGGAAGCGUAGCUAAUACCGCAUACGCCCUACGGGGGAAAGCAGGGGAUCGUAAGACCUUGCACUAUUGGAGCGGCCGAUAUCGGAUUAGCUAGUUGGUGAGGUAACGGCUCACCAAGGCGACGAUCCGUAGCUGGUUUGAGAGGACGACCAGCCACACUGGGACUGAGACACGGCCCAGACUCCUACGGGAGGCAGCAGUGGGGAAUUUUGGACAAUGGGGGCAACCCUGAUCCAGCCAUCCCGCGUGUGCGAUGAAGGCCUUCGGGUUGUAAAGCACUUUUGGCAGGAAAGAAACGUCGCGGGCUAAUACCCCGUGGAACUGACGGUACCUGCAGAAUAAGCACCGGCUAACUACGUG
rnacentral:rRNA from 1 species